rnacentral:rRNA from 1 species
AAUGAACGUUGGCGGCGUGGAUUAGGCAUGCAAGUCGAGCGAGAAUUCCCCGCAAGGGGAAGGACAGCGGCGAAAGGGAGAGUAACACGUGGAUAACCUACCCUCGGGCCUGGGAUAGCUGCGGGAAACUGCAGGUAAUACCAGAUAAUGUCCCCGGACCAAAGGUGUGAUUCCGUCCGAGGAGGGGUCCGCGUCCUAUUAGCUUGUUGGCAGGGUAACGGCCUACCAAGGCGAUGAUGGGUAUGGGGUGUGAGAGCAUGCCCCCACUCACUGGGACUGAGACACUGCCCAGACACCUACGGGUGGCUGCAGUCGAGGAUCUUCGGCAAUGGGCGCAAGCCUGACCGAGCGACGCCGCGUGCGGGAUGAAGGCCUUCGGGUUGUAAACCGCCGUCAGAGGGGAGGAAGUAUCAGGGGGUUCUCCCCCUGGUUUGACCUAUCCUCAGAGGAANUACGGGCUAAGUUCGUGCCAGCCGCCGCCGUAACAC